GGCCCCAUCGUCUAUCGGUUAGGACACGGGCUUUUCAAGCCUGUAAGGCGAGUUCGACUCUCGCUGGGGUCACCA
rnacentral:tRNA from 1 species